GCAGUGGUGGUUCACUGGUAGAAUUCUCGCCUUUCAGGCAGAAGACCUGGGCUUGGCUCCCAGCCAAUGUA
rnacentral:tRNA from 1 species